rnacentral:rRNA from 1 species
CCUACGGGGGGCAGCAGUGGGGAAUAAUGCACAAUGGGCGCAAGCCUGAUGCAGCCAUGCCGCGUGUAUGAAGAAGGCCUUCGGGUUGUAAAGUACUUUCAGCGGGGAGGAAGGUGUUGUGGUUAAUAACCACAGCAAUUGACGUACCCGCAGAAGAAGCACCGGCUAACUCCGUGCCAGCAGCCGCGGUAAUACGGAGGGUGCAAGCGUUAAUCGGAAUUACUGGGCGUAAAGCGCACGCAGGCGGUCUGUCAAGCCGGAUGUGAAAUCCCCGGGCUCAACCUGGGAACUGCAUUCGAAACUGGCAGGCUAGAGUCUUGUAGAGGGGGGUAGAAUUCCAGGUGUAGCGGUGAAAUGCGUAGAGAUCUGGAGGAAUACCGGUGGCGAAGGCGGCCCCCUGGACAAAGACUGACGCUCAGGAGCGAAAGCGUGGGGAGCAAACAGGAUUAGAUACCCGGGUAGUC